CAUGCCGUAAACGAUGAGUGCUAAGUGUUAGGGGGUUUCCGCCCCUUAGUGCUGCAGCUAACGCAUUAAGCACUCCGCCUGGGGAGUACGACCGCAAGGUUGAAACUCAAAGGAAUUGACGGGGGCCCGCACAAGCGGUGGAGCAUGUGGUUUAAUUCGAAGCAACGCGCAGAACCUUACCAACGUUUGACAUCCUUAUCGCGAUUAGCAGAGAUGCUUUUCUUCAGUUCGGCUGGAUAAGUGACAGGUGC
rnacentral:rRNA from 1 species